rnacentral:lncRNA from 1 species
GGGAAAGGAUUUGGGUGGCGCCGGUCUUUAGAAACCGGUCAGAGAGCAGGCGUGGUGACCGGCGCCUCCCUCUCCUGAUAUGUCAGGAAGAAAAAGGAGUAGUUUUCAAAAUCUGAGACAGAUGGGCUGUAUUUUCAAUGGACCUCAUCGCUGGCCUGGAUUCUGAGACACAUAAAACAGAUUAGAGACGCUCGUAGCUUGACUGGCUUGGGAUCCCCAGCCCUGAGGACGUGCAACUCUCGGGGUCACGGUGGAGGAAGAAGGGCUGCUGAUCAAACCAACCUCUUGGUCGAGGGCCUGGGACAUUUUGACCCAGCUCUUCUGCUCCUGUGGACCUUUGGACCCCGAAGACACUCAGAAUGCAAGCAUUUUAAUCAGAACUACCCAACCGGGGUGAGUUUUCAUCUCGAAAGGACCAGAAUUCCACAGGGAACUCCAUUAAGCCAAUUGAAUCCCUUUAUCAAUUUUCUAUACAGCUCAGUUAAACCAUUUCCGAUAUUUCCAUUUCCAUUUUGCUGAAAUUAUUUUCCUAGAGAUCAAUUCUUUUGCAUUUAGAAUUUCACAGAGGAGAUUUGCUUCCUAAAUCUGUUUUUUUUUUUUUUUUUUUUUUUUUUUUUUUUUUUUUUUUUUUUUUUUUU